rnacentral:lncRNA from 1 species
AAUUUCCUUUGUACACCAUGGAUAAGGCUUCGAUGACUUUGCUUUUCCUAGCCACCUUAUUGAUCUUUUCAUGUGGUUAGUCUCUCUCUCCCUCCUAGGUCUCUCUUACUCAAUAGCCUCUAUGGCUAAAUUUUCAAACUUUUCUUAAUUUGAAAGUGGAUAUUGUUAAAAAUAUUUUUGGUCAAUAAUAAUUUAUUGUUGGCUAAUCAAUUUAAAACAAUUUUGCCAAUAUUAGACCAGUAAUUUGUAUUUGUCAAGGUUCCAAACGUGAUUUUAGUGAAAACUAAUUUUUUUUUAUUUUGAAAAGUGAAUUAUGCUAUUACUCAAAAGCACUUAAUUUUUUCCCUAAAAGAUUUACGAAACACCUAACUCUUUAAAAUAAGCACUUUUAAAAAAAAUUAGCACUUUUUGCUUUCCAUAAGCUUUGCAUUGCCAAUGGCAGGUGCGCUCGCACUCAGUAUUUUAUUUUCAAUCAGACCAUAAAAUAAUGGUGUAAUAUUCUUUUUAGAAUGUAUAAACAAUUAAUUGUAUGUGCUCUGAAUAUACUGACAUAGGUCUACCUCAAUCAUACAAAUACUUUUAAUAUCUCAUGAAUUAUGUUUUCUCUUGAAAUAUGCUUGUGCUAAUAAAUUUUUAAUCCACAGAUGCUGUAAUGGGAGAGGGACAGCACUGUGUUUUCGUAAAUGAUUGUCCUUUUAGAUGCAGAAUUGGAAUUCGCCAAUGUGUUAAUGGCGUUUGUAAGUGUUGUUUUUCCGAAUCAUGCUCUGCUGAUGAAGAAAGCAUUGACCUCGGUCGCAAAAUAUUGACUUUCGAAGACUCUUCGUAGUUGUUAAAAGCUAUUGGAAUUUGUUCACGUGAAUCUAAUGCCUAAUUAUUGGCUAAUGAAGAUUAAGUUCUAAUUAAAGUGUAU